CAUAACAUGGGACCACGCCUUAAAGUAAAGGGCAAGAAAUAAAACGAAGCAACAAAGGCUUAAAACUGGGCACGUUCAGUCCUGAGAAAAGAAGUCUGAGGGGAGUAAUGCCACUGAAGUCAGUACAGCAGCUUGCAGAAUAAGUACUACUCAGGGGCUCUAAACGACAGCAUGAAGAAAAGGAAAGAAAAAACAACAAGUAAGCUUACAGCGACAGUAGGAGAAACAUGAGUAAAAAGCAAAUUGAUGAUAUGCAGAAAAAAGAGUUAACAGAAAUCAUUUCCACUGCCCAGAAUACAUGAAUCUGUUACAUGGUUUGUUGCAGGUUAAAAUACUGACAUUUUAGACAAAAAAUGUUUUGAGCACAAUAAUA